rnacentral:rRNA from 1 species
UUCGCCCUUUUCCGGUUGAUCCCGCCGGACCUCACUGCUAUCGGGGUGGGACUAAAACAUGCAAGUUGAGCGCCUCCAAGCUAUGGUGAAGGCGCGGCAAACGGCUCAGUAACACGUGGCUAACCUACCCUUGGGACGGAGACACCCCCGGGAAACUGGGGCUAAUCCCCGAUAGGUAAGGGCUCCUGGAAUGGACCCUUGCUGAAAAGACGUUGAGUCCAUGCUAUUCAGCGUCGCCUAAGGAUGGGGCCGCGGCCGAUCAGGUUGUUGGCGAGGUAACGGCUCACCAAGCCUAUAACCGGUACGGGCCGUGAGAGCGGAAGCCCGGAGAUGGGAACUGAGACAAGGUCCCAGGCCCUACGGGGCGCAGCAGUUGCGAAAACUCCGCAAUGCGCGAAAGCGUGACGGGGCUACCCCGAGUGCCGCCCGUUGAG